CUGAUGUUGACCUUUCUCAAGAUGCCUAGGAAGGUCAGACAGGCUGGCCCUAACCAUGUCGCUCAAGGUCAAUGCCUCCUCCCAGCACUAUUGUAAGCAACCCCGGGCCGGCUCCCUUUCUGCUGACAGGAGUGCUCUUGUCCCCUCCCCCGUCUCCUUCCCUCCUGGGAGCUGGGUCUCUGGGAAGCUGGGGCCUGGAGGGCCUGGAGUCUGAGCAAAGGGGCGAGGAGGGCUUGUGCAGAGGGCUGUUCACGCAGACCUUGGUGAAACCUGAUGGACUGUCUCCACUCCGCAGAGAAGCCCUCUGGGGACUGGGAUGGGCACGUCCCUCAGACAGUUCUUCCCUUCUGGACAGUGUUGGAUGUGCACACAGCCAAAGUGGGCUUCUCUGGACCUUGGCUCUGCUCUGGACACCUCACUCCUUGCUGGUCCCUGAGGAACAAGCCUUGACAGCAGGUCCUGGAAGACAGCCUUAGACCGGAUUCUGGAAAGGCCUGGCGUCUCUUCCCGAACAGCAGAGCUUCCGCCCAAACGGAACUGCUUAAGUGCAGGAUACAGUAGGAAAUACUCCCCGCCAGGACUCGGGAGCCUGCACCCAGCCCUGCCUAGGCACAAAGAGGUCGUGUGAGCACACAGCAAGAUGGCGGCCCUCUACAAGCCGGGAAGAGGGCUGUCACCGAGACCCAAUCUGCCAGCACCUUGCUCUUGGACCUCCAGCCUCCAGAACUGUCAGAAAUAAAUGUCUGUUGUUCAAGCCA
rnacentral:lncRNA from 1 species